rnacentral:lncRNA from 1 species
CAGGAAUUCAGUGAGGCCAUGUUAAUGCCAAUGUAGUCCAUUACAAGAAAAAAGCUUAAAAGUUCACAUCUAUUGGGGUCCUUUUGAUCAUAAAUAGUGAGUUUCAAUAUUCUGCUUAAAUGAAGUGGAAGCCAACACAAGGCAAAAACAAGUACCAGGCAGAACACAGUCUUGGCCACCUCGCGUCUCUGUUUUAAGUGAUCAUUUAAAGCAAUCUGCA